rnacentral:rRNA from 1 species
UAGAGUUUGAUCCUGGCUCAGAACGUACGCUGGCGGCACGCCUAACACAUGCAAGUCGAACGAAGUAGCAAUACUUAGUGGCAGACGGGUGAGUAACAUGUAGGUAUCUGCCCUUUGGCCUGGAAUAACACGAGGAAACUUGUGCUAAUACCGGAUAGGUCUUUACGGAGAAAGCUUUAUGCACCAUUGGAUGAGCCUGCACUUGAUUAGUUUGUUGGUGGGGUAAUGGCCUACCAAGACUGUGAUCAAUAGCUGAUUUGAGAGGAUGAUCAGCCACAUUGGGACUGAGACACGGCCCAAACUCCUACGGGAGGCAGCAGUGGGGAAUCUUGCACAAUGGAGGAAACUCUGAUGCAGCGAUGCCGCGUGAGUGAAGAAGGCCUUUGGGUUGUAAAGCUCUUUCGUCGGGGAAGAAAAUGACUGUACCCGAAUAAGAAGGUCCGGCUAACUUCGUGCCAGCAGCCGCGGUAAUACGAAGGGACCUAGCGUAGUUCGGAAUUACUGGGCUUAAAGAGUUCGUAGGUGGUUGAAAAAGUUGGUGGUGAAAUCCCAGAGCUUAACUCUGGAACUGCCAUCAAAACUUUUCAGCUAGAGUAUGAUAGAGGAAAGCAGAAUUUCUAGUGUAGAGGUGAAAUUCGUAGAUAUUAGAAAGAAUACCGAUUGCGAAGGCAGCUUUCUGGAUCAUUACUGACACUGAGGAACGAAAGCAUGGGUAGCGAAGAGGAUUAGAUACCCUCGUAGUCCAUGCCGUAAACGAUGUGUGUUAGACGUUGGAAAUUUAUUUUCAGUGUCGCAGCGAAAGCGAUAAACACACCGCCUGGGGAGUACGACCGCAAGGUUAAAACUCAAAUGAAUUGACGGGGACCCGCACAAGUAGUGGAGCAUGUGGUUUAAUUCGAAGAUACGCGCAGAACCUUACCAACACUUGACAUGUUCGUCGCGACUCUAAGAGAUUAGAGUUUUCGGUUCGGCCGGACGAAACACAGGUGCUGCAUGGCUGUCGUCAGCUCGUGUCGUGAGAUGUUGGGUUAAGUCCCGCAACGAGCGCAACCCUCACUUUUAGUUGCCAUCAUUAAGUUGGGCACUCUGAAAGAACUGCCAGUGAUAAGCUGGAGGAAGGUGGGGAUGACGUCAAGUCCUCAUGGCCCUUACGUGUUGGGCUACACACGUGCUACAAUGGUAUCUACAACAGGAAGCAAGACUGCGAGGUCAAGCAAAUCCCUAAAAGAUACCUCAGUUCGGAUUGCACUCUGCAACUCGAGUGCAUGAAGCUGGAAUUACUAGUAACCGUGGAUCAGCGUGCCACGGUGAAUGCGUUCCCGGGUCUUGUACACACCGCCCGUCACACCAUGGGAGUUGGUUCUACCUUAAGGCAAGGUUUAAUACCCUUGACCACGGUAUAGUCAGCGACUGGGGUGAAGUCGUAACAAGGUAACCA